AUUCCAGCUCCAAUAGUGUAUAUUAAAGUUGUUGCAGUUAAAAAGCUCGUAGUUGGAUUUCUGGCGGGAGCGAUCGGUCCUUCACUCAGUGUUGGAACCUGAUUGUCUCCUGCCAUCCAUGGAGAAAACUUAUCUGGCAUUAAGUUGUCGGGUAGGCAAUCUCCAUCUUUUACUGUGAAAAAAUUAGAGUGUUCAAAGCAGGCUUAUGCCGUUGAAUAUAUUAGCAUGGAAUAAUAGAAUAGGAAGUCGUUUCUAUUUUGUUGGUUUUCGGAAAUCGACUUAAUGAUUAAUAGGGACAGUCGGGGGCAUUUGUAUUCAAACGACAGAGGUGAAAUUCUUGGACCGUUUGAAGGCAAACUACUGCGAAAGCAUUUGCCAAGAAUGUUUUCAUCA
rnacentral:rRNA from 1 species